rnacentral:ncRNA from 1 species
GCUCGUAGUUGAAUUUCAAGGGUUUUUUUCGUAGCUAGCCAUUGUUCCCUUUGCGGUCAAUGUGCAUUUGGCUACAGGCCCUUUUUUUCUGCUAGGAGAUGCGGCUCUUCUGCUUGUCAGCGGGGCUGCAGUUUUCCUAGCACUUUUACUUUGAAAAAAUUAGAGUGUUCAAAGCAGGCUUUUUCUUUGCCUGAAUAUCUUAGCAUGGAAUAAUAGAAUAGGACUUUGGUUCUAUUUUGUUGGUUUCUAGGACUAGAGUAAUGAUUAAUAGGGAUAGUUGGGGGCAUUAGUAUUUAAUUGUCAGAGGUGAAAUUCUUGGAUUUAGGAAAGACUAACUUCUGCGAAAGCAUUUGCCAAGGAUGUUUUCAUUAAUCAAGAAC